rnacentral:tRNA from 1 species
GGUGGCUCAGUGGUAGAGCGCUUGUCUGGCAUGCAGGAAGCCCUAGGUUCAAUUCCUCAGCACCA